rnacentral:rRNA from 1 species
CAAUAGCGUAUAUUAAAGUUGUUGCGGUUAAAAAGCUCGUAGUUGGAUUUCUGCUGAGAACGACCGGUCCGCCGUUUGGUGUGCACUGGUUGGUUUUAACUUCCUGUAGAGGACGUGCUCUGGGUUUAACGACCUGGACUCGGAGUCUACGUGGUUACUUUGAAAAAAUUAGAGUGUUCAAAGCGGGCUUACGCUUGAAUAUUUCAGCAUGGAAUAACACUAUAGGACUCCUGUCCUAUUUCGUUGGUCUCGGGACGGGAGUAAUGAUUAAGAGGAACAGUUGGGGGCAUUCGUAUUUCAUUGUCAGAGGUGAAAUUCUUGGAUUUAUGAAAGACGAACUUCUGCGAAAGCAUUUGCCAAGGAUGUUUUCAUUAA